UCCAGCAGUUGUCAGCUAUCCAGGCUAGCGUGAUGCCUCAGAUGGUGUUACACUGUUGGAAGAGCAAGCACUGCCUUUAUUGAGGUCUGACUUCAGCACUGUUUUGGUGUUGUGGCUGAGUACCUCUAGGCAGUGUUUUGCACCUCUGAGAGUGGAGUAACUUCUCCUGUGGAGUUGGUCCUAGUCUGGGUGCAAACAGU
ensembl:snoRNA SNORA74 Small nucleolar RNA SNORA74